UACAGAGGACUCAAGCGUUGUUCGGAUUCAUUGGGCGUAAAGGGUGCGUAGGCGGCGCGGUAAGUCGGGUGUGAAAUCUUGGAGCUUAACUCCGAAACUGCAUUCGAUACUGCCGUGCUUGAGGACUGGAGAGGAGACUGGAAUUUACGGUGUAGCGGUGAAAUGCGUAGAUAUCGUAAGGAAGACCAGUGGCGAAGGCGGGUCUCUGGACAGUUCCUGACGCUGAGGCACGAAGGCCAGGGGAGCAAACGGG
rnacentral:rRNA from 1 species